rnacentral:rRNA from 1 species
UGCUCAAGAAAAGGAUUUAAGUCCAGCCUAAAGUCUUCUUAGUUUAUCAAAACGUGGCCUCGACUUUAGAGUAAUUCAAAUAAGGUACAGCCUAUUUGAAAAAGGAUACAACCUAGACUAACGGGUAAUGAUUCAACUUUAUAACUAAGUAGGCCUAAAAGCAGCCACCUUUAAAAUAGCGUCAAAGCUUCAUUAUAGUACACACCUAAUACCAUAAAAAUUUGAUACCCCCUUUUAUUCUAUUGAGUAAUCCUAUACUAUUAUAGAAAAUAUAAUGUUAAAACUAGUAACAAGAAGAAGACCUUCUCUUUAAUGCAAGUGUAAAUCAGAAAGGACCCCCCACUGAUAAUUAACCCCCAUGAAACUACAUUAACAACCUUACAAGAAAAUCUUAAUAAAUUUUGAGUUAAUCUAACACAAGAGCAUUACAAGAAAGAUUUAAAGAAAAAGAAGGAACUCGGCAAACAUUAACCUCGCCUGUUUACCAAAAACAUCGCCUCUUGAAAAACUAUAAGAGGUCCAGCCUGCCCAGUGACUUUGUUCAACGGCCGCGGUAUCCUAACCGUGCGAAGGUAGCGUAAUCACUUGUCUUUUAAAUGGGGACUUGUAUGAAUGGCAUCACGAAGGUUAUACUGUCUCCUUUUUCUAAUCAGUGAAACUAAUCUUCCCGUGAAGAAGCGGGAAUAAACAUAUAAGACGAGAAGACCCUAUGGAGCUUUAAACUCAAUAACAAAUACUAACCUUACAUUAACCUUCAGAAUAUUAACCUUAAUUUUAGUAUUAUGAUUAUUAGUUUUAGGUUGGGGUGACCGCGGAGUAAAAAUUAACCUCCACAUUGAACGGGCCUGUCCCUGAGCCAAGAACUACAGCUCGAAGCACCAACAAAUUGACAUUAAUUGACCCAAUAUUUUGAUCAACGAACCAAGUUACCCUAGGGAUAACAGCGCAAUCCACUUCAAGAGCUCCUAUCGACAAGUGGGUUUACGACCUCGAUGUUGGAUCAGGGUAUCCCAGUGGUGCAGCCGCUACUAAAGGUUCGUUUGUUCAACGAUUAAAACCC